rnacentral:rRNA from 1 species
UACGAAGGGGGCUAGCGUUGUUCGGAAUCACUGGGCGUAAAGGGCGCGUAGGCGGCUUUAUAAGUCGGGGGUGAAAGCCUGUGGCUCAACCACAGAAUUGCCUUCGAUACUGUAGAGCUUGAGACCGGAAGAGGUAAGUGGAACUGCGAGUGUAGAGGUGAAAUUCGUAGAUAUUCGCAAGAACACCAGUGGCGAAGGCGGCUUACUGGUCCGGUUCUGACACUGAGGCGCGAAAGCGUGGGGAGCGAACAGG